CGCGGAAGUACCUGAAAAAGGAGCAAGCCGUACUGCUGGCUCUGGUUGCUUGGUUGCGCACUGCGAGAUUAGGUGUGCGACAUUUGCAGUAACCUCGCGCUAAUAAUCUGCAACUGAACACGGAACUGGGUGUUCAAACGGAGGGCGAUGUCUUACUACUCAUCAUCCCGAAGUUCCUCUCGGAACUUGGAAUGUAAAGUUUACGUUGGAGACUUGGGUAAUGGAGCUGCAAAAGGCGAAUUGGAGCGGGCGUUCAGCUACUAUGGCCCUCUGCGCAGCGUCUGGGUGGCCAGGAACCCUCCAGGAUUUGCGUUUGUGGAAUAUGAAGACAACCGUGACGCUGAGGAUGCUGUGAAGGGCAUGGAUGGAAAAGUACUUUGUGGAUCACGCAUACGGGUGGAGCUGUCUACAGGUUUGUCCCGGAAGUCUCGUUAUGGUCGACCUGGCCGCCGCUCUUUUGACCCAAAUGAUCGAUGCUACCAGUGUGGUGAUCGGGGGCACUAUGCCUAUGACUGCUACCGUUUCAGCAAGAGGGGAGGCAGUCGUCGCAGCAGGUCCCGUUCUAGAUCCAGGUCUCGCUCUAGGUCCAGGGGACGAAGGUACCGCUCGCGGUCUCGCAGUCGUAGCAAUGAAAGGAGGUACCGGUCACCAUCUUACGCCAGGCGCCGUAGCAGGUCUGCCUCUCCUGCACGAUCUAAGUCUAGGACUCCUGUACGGAGUCGUUCGCGUUCUCGUUCACGGUCUGCAUCACGUCCACGUGGUCGAUCUGCAUCACAUCCACGUGGUCGAUCUGCAUCCCGCUCCCGAUCCAGGUCACGCACCCCCAGUGCUAAGAGAAACAGAGAUGAACCGUCGCCUGAACUUCGCUGACAUCCCAGAACGCACCGAGCUACACAUGUGACGAUGGACAGCCGUCGAUGGAAAUGGGUGAAAGAGGUCAGGUGUAGGGUGGGGAUAGUAAGGGUUAGUCAGGGAAGAUAGUAAUGUUUCCCUUCAGAAACAAAUGUUAGGGAUAGUCUUUCAGAUCCCCAAGAAUUUCUAUCUUUAAUUGCCUGUUUUUUUAGAUACAUAUAGUAAUAAAAGCUUAGAAUGACUGCUUAGCUAUAAAGGCAAACACAGCUUAGACUCCAAGAGGCACUUAUUGGGUAAGGGGAUAUAGAGGGCAGGAGGGGGGCAACAGGGCGUGGUCUUCUCUCUUGUCUUCCCCCCAGAUCCAUCCUCAUAUUGAUUAGCCGCAGGGUGCAUCAGAGAACCCCCCUCCCAAAUCCAAAAGAGAGAAUCGGCUCGUGAUCAUACUCCGUUGACCAAUUGCUCCAGGCUGUUCCCUUUUUUUUUCUAAAGAGUGUGGGAGUCGACGGCUCAAGCACUGACCAGGGUUCAUCCUUGCUGUGUAAAACGUCCUUCGGGAGGGUGAGAAAAUGCCCUGAGAUCAGCCUCCGCCACGGUGGUUUCAUGAGGUCGUCCGACGCACGUUCUGACCAAGACGCUCCUAUCUGCACACACACACAGUUGUUCCACCUACCCCAUCCCCUCCCAGAAAUCCAUGCACUACUACUACCGACUACCACAUCUACUGCAAACCAGUGCUACGCUGAGAGAGAGCUCAGUCGACCAGUUAUGGUCCCCCACACCUUCAAAUCUGCGGCCUCAAUGCUUAGCUUCUCUGAGGGUGUGUGUGAGAGAGAGAGAAAGAGGGAAAGGAGAGCUGACGAGAGAUCAGUCUUCAAGACCCUCCGAGUGUGUCUUCAAGUUCUAGCAUCCGUCGCUUCUCUGUACAUGUUGUUUCUGCCACUGUCUUCAAAGCCGUUCCCGCUCUCCCAGCCCGAAGAAGAGCCCCACUCCUGGAACAGACUGAUAGGAGAUGAAACCUAACCCAAACCCCCUAUCUCCCUCUUUUUUUCCCCCAAAGCUGUCUUCUUUCCCCCCAAGGACUACUGUUCGUGUUAAGUCUCACCCGCAUACAAAUGUAAAAAUGAAUGUCCUUGAUCUACCAAUUAAUUACCAACUCUUUUUUUUGUCAUUGUGUACAAGGCUGAAGUAGAAAGGACAGUGGCUUUGGUCAGUGAUUGUUUUUACCAGUUUGAAUUUUUACAACAUGCCACAUUUGUUGAGCCUUUCUUUUAUGACAAUGUUAUUUAAUUAAAGAAACAAAAAGAGGGCUGUGUUCAACAUUUUAUUUUUGCUGGAUGUUUAGUAUGGUUUUGAAAUAAAUCAGUCCAUUACCACUGA